UACAGAGGUCUCAAGCGUUGUUCGGAAUCACUGGGCGUAAAGCGCGUGUAGGCGGCCUCCUCAGUCUGGUGUGAAAGCCCGGGGCUCAACCCCGGAAGUGCAUUGGAUACUGGGAGGCUGGAGUACCGGAGAGGAGGGUGGAAUUCCUGGUGUAGCGGUGAAAUGCAUAGAUAUCAGGAGGAACACCGGUGGCGAAGGCGGCCCUCUGGACGGAUACUGACGCUGAGACGCGACAGCGUGGGGAGCAAACAGG
rnacentral:rRNA from 1 species